rnacentral:misc_RNA from 1 species
GUUCAUAAAAAUGAGCUGCAAGUACAAAAAUGUUUGUUCCUGUCGAAAAAUGACAAAACUCGCAGAUUACUUAUUGAUGAGAUUAGGAAAAAUGGUGAUUAUAUCCAUUAUAUCGAUGCAUCGUUAAAUAACGGAACUCUAAUCGUGCCUCGUCAAAAGCGUGUAAACUCUAAAAACGAAGCGGUUGAUUUCAUAUGUGGCAAGGAAUGUUCCGGAUUUUUCCCCAAAAGCACAAUACGGAGUCAUAUUAAUAAUUGCAAAGGGAGCGAUCAUAAGAAAGGAACUCGUGACUUGCUUAAACAAGGUCGCUCCAAAACUUGCUUCAAAACGGCUUCAUCCAUAAAAGUGCAAAUGACGUUGUGCGCACAAAAAUAAUGCCUGUUUUAAAUGAUGAUCCCAUUUCUAGAAAUCUUAUAUAUGAUGAAUUGAUUGUUUUAUUCGCAAACGCAGAAUCUAUGAAGCACGGCGAACUUCAGUACGAUAUGAUCAGAGCAAACAUGAGAUUGCUCAGCAGACUUUUACAUGAAAUAAAAAAAUCAGAAUCUAAUGAGAUACAGGAACUUAUAGACGCCAUUAAUCCCAAACAUUUGGAUUUGAUGAUAUCUUGUAUCAGAAAAGUGGCUCAGUGGGACUCUUCUUCGAUGUUUUUUAAAACACCUUCAGUUGCAACGAACCUUACAACUCUAAUUAAAAAGUGCGCAAAAAUAUUGUGGACUCAUUGCAUUAAAACACAAAAUCAUGCAAAAAAAAAUUAAUUAAAGAUUUUCUUGUUCUAUGGGAAACCGAAAUUCCUCUUUUUAUAAACAAAAAAGCUAUAGAGGACCAGUCAAAGAAAAAAAGAGCCCUACCAACUAUUUUACCAUGUAAAGAAGACAUCAAAAAACUGUUUGAUUAUGUGAUAAAAAAAUCGGAAAGCGCUCUGAGUGUGCUAAAAAUUAAGUUUGAUUUUUUAUCAUGGACAUCGUUGAUACAAAGCACACUAAUUGGCCUUCAAAUUUUUAACCGCCGUAGAGCCGGUGAAUUUGAAAGACUAACAAUUGAGAACUAUCUAACAGGGCACACCAUCGAUGAAAAUGUAGAUAAAUAAAACUUCGAACGUCUCACGAAAGAAACUAGAGAAAUCGCUCAAAAAUACACAAGUUUGACUAUUCGUGGAAAACUCAAUCGAACUGUGCCAGUGCUGCUCACACCGUUUGACAAGUAUUGUAUAGAAACUAUUCUCAAACAUCGUAAAAGAGCUGGUGUUAAAAAAAAUAAUGAUUACAUAUUUAGCGUGCCUAACGCCAAGCCCUUAGCAAAUCAAUAUGUAAGGGCUUGUCCGAUUCUGAAAAAAUUUGCCCAGGAAUGUGGGGCUCGCUGCCCAGGGGCUUUACGGGAAACGAUGCUUCGAAAGCAUUUAGCUACCUAUACAUCGAUGCUUAACGUCAAAGAUGUCCAAAUUGAUAGGCUUGCCAAUUUUAUGGGUCAUCAUAAAGAUAUACAUAAAGAAAUCUACAAUCCCUGUAACAGUAGCGGAGAUAGCCGAAGUAUCCCAGAUGCUUAUGGCAGCUCUUGGAAAUAAUGUUGAGGAUGAAAACACAGUAGCCCUUGAUCAGUUCGAAGAAAGUAAGUACAUAGAUUCAUCAAGUUUGUGGGUGAUACUAAGAGUAGUUAUGGUGAAAAAUGUAAUAUCUUAACUUAACUAAUAAUUACUUGUCGGGCUUAUUGUGAAUGUUUUUACAUUGUACCUCAAAUCCAUUUUGCAGAUGAUCCUUUAGAGGAUUCGGAAUCAGAUUAUUCUGAACAGCGAUCAGAAAGCGACUUCAAUAUUUCCGAUGAUGACAUUAUAGAAAUAUCGAAUAAAAAAGGAAAGCGCCCAAGUAGUAAGUAUUAAAUUGCAACCUACAUAUUUAUGUCACGUGCUUACAUGCAUUGCGUUUAGGCUAUCCUAUUUAUCCUCAUGGACAAAGUAAAAAGAGUUAUCGUGCUUGUGAAAUGUCCGAUCGUCUGUUCAAACGAACGCGAUAUUUUGCUGGCCCAUUAAAGUUAUAUCAACGAGAAGUAAAGUGCUAAAAUUAUAUAAUGACGACUACUGCGGCGUGGAUCAUCAUUUGGAAAAACCAUAAGAAACCGUUGGUCGAAUGAAGAGCGUGAAGAAAUAUACCAGGCUUUUGGAGACCUGUUGUCUCUUAAAGGAUUGCCGUCGCUUAAGCAAUGCAACGCAGUUAUAAAUAAUUCUACAUAUCUAAAAUGUAGGACACCGGCGCAAGUAAAAACAUGGAUAGAUAAUCAGCGCAAGGCUAAAUCAAGAAAAUCAACUCCGCAAACAGAUUGAAUAAUG